rnacentral:rRNA from 1 species
AAGCAUAUUAAUAAGCGGAGGAAAAGAAAAUAACUAUGAUUCUCUUAGUAAGGGCGACUGAAACGAGAAUAGCUCAAGAUUGAAUCGGUGCGAAAGCACUGAGUUGUGAUCUAUAGGUAUAGGUGUUAAAUUGUGGAUUAAGUCUCCUGGAAUGGAGCGGUAUAGAGGGUGACACCCCCGUGAAUCUACGAUGUAAAACUUAUGCUUUUGAGUCGAGUUGCUUGGGAUUGCAGCUCUAAGUGGGAGGUAAAUUCCUUCUAAAGCUAAAUAUGGUUGGGAAACCGAUAGCAAACAAGUACCGUGAGGGAAAGAUGCAAAGAACUUUGAAAAGAGAGUUAAAAAGUACCUGAAAUUGCUGAAAGGUAAGCGAAGAAAGCCAGUGUAUGCUGAAAAAUAUUUGGAUGAUUGCUUGCAGUUGUUCCGCUAUUUUAGGCAAUGCCUUGCUUGGAUUGACUGUCAAAAGCUGUCUUUUUGCAGUGCUAACCACAUUGCAUUGAGACUGAUCUUUGAUGGUCUGUCUGAGAGUACAAGUCAAAAUGGAUUUCUUCUCCCCGUCUUGAA